rnacentral:rRNA from 1 species
AGAUCCGUAGGUGAACCGCGGAAGGAUCAUUAUCGUAACAAAAUGUGAGGGGCAUGUGAGGGCUGUCGCUGACUCAAUUGUCGUGCACGCCCGAGCGUGUCCUCUCACAAUAAUAAUCCAUCUCACCCUUUGUGCAUCGCCGCGUGGGCACCCUUUGGGAUCAUCUCGGAGGGGGCUCGCGUUUUCACAAAACCCCCCUUUUAAAAGUGUAGAAUGACCUCAUUUAUGCGCUAACCCGCAAUCAAUACAACUUUCAACAACGGAUCUCUUGGCUCUCGCAUCGAUGAAGAACGCAGCGAAAUGCGAUACGUAAUGUGAAUUGCAGAAUUCAGUGAAUCAUCGAAUCUUUGAACGCACCUUGCGCCCCUUGGUAUUCCGAGGGGCACACCCGUUUGAGUGUCGUGAAAACCUCAACCUCCUUGGUUUCUUCUGGAGACCAAAGCAGGCUUGGACUUUGGAGGCCUUUGCUGGCACCUCUCUCUUUUGAAGGUCAGCUCCUCUUAAAUGAAUUAGCAGGGUCCUCUUUGCUGAUCCUCGACGUGUGAUAAGAUGUUUCCAUGUCUUGGUUUCUGGCUCUGUCACUCUUGGGACCCGCUUCUAACCGUCUUGACCUUGCGUCGAGACAAUGUUCGAGCAUGUCUCCCAUCUCGGGAAGCUCCCUCGACCCCAGAACCCUUGACCUCAAAUCGGGUGAGACUACCCGCUGAACUUAAGCAUAUCAAUAAGCGGAGGAAAAGAAACCAACCAAU